UUUGUUUGUACUGCUUUCCUUUAAAAUGGAGGCAGAAAAAACAGAGAGAGGCCUGGCUGAGGCUUGCAGCUAGAAUUUAACAACAAACUGAAACCUCACCAAAGUUGCUUGUGCUGAUUUGCUUUGGAUGUUAAAAAUCCUAAUCCUGCCAGGAUGCUAAUUGUUGAGGCUUUGUAGAGCUCAGAGGAGUUUCCCAGAAUGCACAGCCAGAAAGGCAGGCACAGGCAAAUGAGAUGAGGUAGUGUGGACCUAAUCCUUUUUGUUGUGCAUUUGGGUUGCAGCAACCUGGAAAGAUAUAGAUAGGUACAUGUGAAAAUACUUUGUUCACUAGAUUGUGCAAUGAGGAGGAGAAGGAGACUAUGACUCAAAAGCUGGAGUCAAACUCAGCUUUGCCACCAGCUGUGUGACCCAAAGGAAGCUGAUUAUCUGAACCUCGGAGUCUCAGUCUGUAAAAACUGGUUGGACUACCCCAUGUCAUUACUUUAUCCAAGUCUAACAGAGAUGAUCUUAACCUGUUCAACAGAAUUUGGUUUCUGAGAAACACAGCCUAACAAGUGAUAAUGGUAAUAAAUGCUAAAAGUAGAUAAUUUUUAUUAAGCAUUUCAUAUAAGCCAAGCACUGAGCAAAUUAUUUUGCAUGGCUUAUGUCACUUAUGUCUCAUAAUAAAUGCAAGAGCAGGAUAAUUUUAUUAACCUCACCCUACACAUGAGGAAAUUGAGGCUCAGAGAAGCCAAAUGAUUUGCUCAAGUUCGAGAGUUAAAAAUAAAACAGACAAACAAAAAACCUGAAAGAUCUAGCCAGCAAAUUUGCCCAUUUCCAUGAUCUCCUUAGGCAAAGAAUAGUAUCAGAUGCUGCUGGUUGUAGCAGUGGACGCUGUCAUGACCACUAGACGGGCAAUCAUUUUAGGGUCACCGGAGAGCCAAGCUCUGACCUCCUUUAACUGGGUACCUCUGGCUUAGGCUGCAAGGUAGACCUGUAACCCGAUCCUCUUGGAGAGGCCCCAGCUUGCUGUUCACUGGGCUGGAAACCUGAGCUGCUCCGGAGAGGGCUGGAAGACAGCUUGGGGCCUGGGGAUUGGUUCAUGCUAUCUCAGCUUUUACUCUAGCAGGCUAAGUGGCUUUUGGCCCUUGUUAAUGGCGCCAUCUCAGAUCAGUGUCAGGGGAACCACUGGCCACUUGGGGGACCUUGAGAGUAGGAAAGGCAGGAGGAGGUGGAAGGUGACAAGCAUGCCCUCCACCCCCUUGGUCGCCUAGGUGGACUAACCACUUGCUCCAGGGUGGUGCAGCAGAAAUUUCAGGUAGGAAGUUUGACCAAGUUCAGGGUCCCUUUCCCUGGUCUAUCCAGCAGGGGCGCAGUUGAUCCUCAGAGGUACAUGCCAGACAAAGAGUGCAACAGCAACUGUGUCUUGUGGUUGUUACCUCAAGUUAAUGCAGUCACAGCUUAAUCCUAUAGUGGAACACCCCACCUCCACUCUUGGCCCCCACCCCCUGCCUUCACCACGCAGCAGGGAGCCCAUGACCCAAGCCUGGGCAGUAGGCGCAUCUAUGCUGAUGACUCCAUUUGCCACCCCAACCCCAACCUCCUCUGCCAGGGCAUCCUGCUCUCAGCCCAGGCUUCUUCCUUGGCUGCAGCCUGCACUGGGCUCUGGUGACACUGUUUCCUGUCCUUGCCCCUUUGGGGUAAGAGAUUCCCUUGUAACUAGUGCCAGGUGCCACAACACCCUCCCUAAACUCACCCCAAGACUCCAUGCGUGGAUCUUGCACAAAUUUAUAUUCAGAAUCCCACCACCUGUUCUUUCUGUUUCUGUUUCCAACUGAGACUCUGCUUCAUCCAGACUGCAAUUCCGGAUGCAGUUAGUCAAGUCACGGAAGCUUCAUUAUCCCCUCCCUCAACUGACAAGAUGGGGACAGAACUGCUUCUCCAGGCUGUUGUGAGAGAGAAAUCAGGUCAUGGUGAACAGCAGCUAGUUUAUACUUGAGUCACGGCGACCAAUUACAACACAGCCAGCUCGCCACAAAACAGAGUGAUCAAACAGGCCAUGUCCCUUUCUUUCUCAAACACCUCGAUGGCUCUCUACUACCUUCAGGAUAAAGCCUAUGCUCCUGCAUGUGACGUUCAAGGCCUCUUGCGGUCUUACCUUUGCCAGCCUCCCAGCUGCGUGCCUCCUGCUCAGCCUGCACAACUGCUGAGCAUUCCCAUACCACGCGGGGUUCUUCAGACCAAGACGUCCAUGUUUGUUCAUUCUUCGGGAAAUGACACUUGUUCAUCCUUCAUGAAGUACUUUGCUCUUCUCCUCCAUCUGCCAAAUCCUGGCCAUCCUUCAGUCCCAGCAUGAGCAGCUCCCCUCUGUGGCAUUUUCCCUUAUUUUGCAGGUGAGAUGUGCGCAUGCCUGCUGUGGAUCACUGUCGUCCUCAUGAACCUUGGCUCCUAGACCAUGAACGAUCACAAAGGCAGUGCAGUGGAUCUUGGGCACCUUUUAAAGGUCACUUGGUAGUGCGCUGCUCCUUAUCAGGUGUAGUUAGAGCACAGGACAAAGAGCACAGGCCUGGAAUUCAAGUCUGGCUCUAUUGUUGAUCAGUCAUGACCCUGGGCAAGUGACUUAAUCUCUCUGUUCCUCAGUUUCCCAAUUUUUUAAAACAAUGGUAAUGAUAACACUGUCCUCAUAGCAUGUCAUGAGAAUUAAAUUAAUUAAUGUGUUUUGAGUCUCCAAAAAUGACAAAAAUCUGAAAGCUCCACAAUUCUUGGGUAUAAUGAAAUAAAUAGAAAAUUCUAUAGUAUAGUACCAGUUUUCAUCCACAAAAUUAUAUAAGUAUUCUGUAAUAUUGGUUUCAGGCUCUGUAUAUAAGAUGAAUCAGUGAAUUUACUGCUUAGACUUGAGUCGCAACCCCAAGAUGUCUCGAUAUUUGUAUAUGAAAAUAUUCCAAAAUCUGAAAAGCCUGGAACAAUUAAGCAUUUCAGAACACAUUUAAUCUGAACAGAUUUUGCAUUCAAAUAUAAAUAUAUAAUUUAUAGCAUACAUCUCUGUACGUAUUGUAUAUGUGUAUGUAUAAUACCUUAGAGCAGUACCUAUCCACAUAGACAAUAUUAUAAACAUGCUAGCUGGUGUGUAUGUACACACACAUGCAUAUGCAUUUGUGCAUGUGUACAUGUGAGUGUAAGUGUGUGCCUGUAAUUUAUGAGAAGCACUGUCUAAAAGCUUCCAGGCUGAUGGAAAUUCAUUGUGACAUUUAUUAAAGUGAUUAUUUGAAUAUAUUA